CUUGGUCAUUUAGAGGAAGUAAAAGUCGUAACAAGGUUUCCGUAGGUGAACCUGCGGAAGGAUCAUUAAAGAAUGCCCCGUUUUUUGAAAUGGGUUCUAUUCCCAAACCGUGUAUACAUACCUUUGUUGCUUUGGCAGGCCGCCUUCGGGCGUCGGCUCACGCUGACCGCGCCUGCCAGAGGACCCAAACUCGUUUGUUUAGUGAUGUCUGAGUACUAUAUAAUAGUUAAAACUUUCAACAACGGAUCUCUUGGUUCUGGCAUCGAUGAAGAACGCAGCGAAAUGCGAUAAGUAAUGUGAAUUGCAGAAUUCAGUGAAUCAUCGAAUCUUUGAACGCACAUUGCGCCCCUUGGUAUUCCGAGGGGCAUGCCUGUUCGAGCGUCAUUAUGACCACUCAAGCCUAGCUUGGUAUUGGGGUUCGCGGUCUCGCGGCCCUUAAAAUCAGUGGCGGUGCCAUCUGGCUCUAAGCGUAGUAAUUUAUCUCGCUAUUGGGUCCGGUGGUUGCUUGCCAACAACCUCCAAUUUCUAAGGUUGACCUCGGAUCAGGUAGGGAUACCCGCUGAACUUAAGCAUAUCAAUAAGCGGAGGA
rnacentral:rRNA from 1 species